rnacentral:lncRNA from 1 species
AUGAGAAACAGUCCUCCGGGAGUUCAUGCUGGAAGACCUGGAGAGCAUGGGUCAAAUCGAUGUGGCACCAGGCGGCUGCUAACUUCACCUCUACCCCAUGUGGAGUUUUGCUCAGGUAGCCCAGGCUGGAGUGUAACGGCACGAUCUCGGCUCACUGCAACUUCUUUCUUCUGGGUUCAAACAACUCUCCCACCUCAGCCUCCUGAGUGGCUAGGAUCACAGGUGCUAGUUCUGGCAAAGCCAGUCACCUGCCCAGGGCAGAGAGUAGCCUGAAGCUGAUGCUACGGAGAGACUGGGGCCUUCAGUCCAACAGCCUGCAAGCAAUAGAAUUCUGCCAGCAACACAGAAGCGAGCGUGGAAGCAGCUCCUCCCCUGAUGAGCCUGAGCCUUCAGAAGACAUGGCAGCCCUGAGCAGACACUUGCUGCAGCCGCGGAGAGCCCCUGGGGCAGAGGGCCCAGUGAAGCCUGCACUCCUGGCCCAAGGAGUAAGCAUUCCUGUGGUAUAACUGUGUGCUGGUGUGGGCCACAGUUUGGAGUCAUCUGUCAGGGGACAAUAAAGAACAAACACACGCCUCA